GACGAACGCUGGCGGCGUGCUUAACACAUGCAAGUCGAACGGAAAGGCCUGCUUUCCCUUGUGGAUUGCGGGUACUCGAGUGGCGAACGGGUGAGUAACACGUGAGUGAUCUGCCCCCAACUUGGGUAUAAGCCUGGGAAACUGGGUCUAAUUCCCGAUAGGACUGCAGGGUGGUGCCUGUGGUGGAAAACGAUUUUCUAGUGGUUGGGGAUGAGCUCGCGGCCUAUCAGCUUGUUGGUGGGGUAAUGGCCUACCAAGGCGGCGACGGGUAGCCGGCCUGAGAGGGUGGACGGCCACAUUGGGACUGAGAUACGGCCCAGACUCCUACGGGAGGCAGCAGUGGGGAAUAUGGCACCAUGGGCGGAAGCCUGAUGCAGCGACGCCGCGUGGGGGAUGACGGCCUUCGGGUUGUAAACUCCUUUCGACCGCGAGGAAGCCACCUGGUUGGAAGGGUGGUGACGGUAGUGGUAGAAGAAGCACCGGCUAACUACGUG
rnacentral:rRNA from 1 species